rnacentral:rRNA from 1 species
UAACUGCCCAAGAGAUCGGGAUAACACCUGGAAACAGAUGCUAAUACCGGAUAACAACAGAUGAUGCCUAUCAACUGUUUAAAAGAUGGUUCUGCUAUCACUCUUGGAUGGACCUGCGGUGCAUUAGCUAGUUGGUAGGGUAACGGCCUACCAAGGCGAUGAUGCAUAGCCGAGUUGAGAGACUGAUCGGCCACAUUGGGACUGAGACACGGCCCAAACUCCUACGGGAGGCAGCAGUC